UGCCCAAGAGAUCGGGAUAACACCUGGAAACAGAUGCUAAUACCGGAUAACAACAGAUGAUGCCUAUCAACUGUUUAAAAGAUGGUUCUGCUAUCACUCUUGGAUGGACCUGCGGUGCAUUAGCUAGUUGGUAGGGUAACGGCCUACCAAGGCGAUGAUGCAUAGCCGAGUUGAGAGACUGAUCGGCCACAUUUGGACUGAGACACGGCCCAAACUCCUACGGGAGGCAGCAGCU
rnacentral:rRNA from 1 species